AUUGAACGCUGGCGGCGUGCCUAACACAUGCAAGUCGAGCGGUAACAGGUGUAGCAAUACAUGCUGACGAGCGGCGAACGGGUGAGUAAUGCUUCGGAAUCUACCCAAUGGUGGGGAAUAACCAGCCGAAAGGUUGGCUAAUACCGCAUACGUCCCACGGGAGAAAGCAGGGGAUCGCAAGACCUUGCGCCAAUGGAUGAGCCGAAGUCGGAUUAGCUAGUUGGUAGGGAACGGCCUACCAAGGCGACGAUCCGUAGCUGGUCUGAGAGGACGACCAGCCACACUGGGACUGAGACACGGCCCAGACUCCUACGGGAGGCAGCAGUGGGGAAUAUUGGACAAUGGGGGAAACCCUGAUCCAGCGACGCCGCGUGUGUGAAGAAGGCCUGCGGGUUGUAAAGCACUUUUAGU
rnacentral:rRNA from 1 species